rnacentral:misc_RNA from 1 species
GUACUGGAACUCGAGUUUAUGUAUAUCAGUCGUCAAUUGACCACAAUAGAGAUAGAAGUCUUCCUAUUUCUAUCAAAUCAUUAACGGAAGGUCUUUCUAGAAAGUCAAUUGGACGUGCAUAUGACCGAAUGGAAACUGAGCCUGGACUUCAUUUAUUGGUACAUAAUACAUCUGGCUUAAAGGCCGCAAUAAAUCCACUUGUUCAGUGGGCUGAGAAGCAAAUCCCUAAGCGUUCUCAUAAGACUACAUCCCUUUUCCUUUAUGCUACAGCUGGGGUUCGCAGGCUG